AUUGAACGCUGGCGGCAGGCCUAACACAUGCAAGUCGAGCGAGCGGCGGACGGGUGAGUAAUGUCUGGGAAACUGCCUGAGGGAGGGGGAUAAAUACUGGAGACGGUAGCUAAUACCGCAUACCACCAGAUCUGCCCCGAUGGGAUUAGCUAGUAGGUGGGGUAACGGCUCACCUAGGCGACGAUCACUAGCUGGUCUGAGAGGAUGACAAGCCACACUGGAACUGAGACACGGUCCAGACUCCUACGGGAGGCAGCAGUGGGGAAUAUUGCACAAUGGGCUCAAGCCUGAUGCAGCCAUGCCGCGUGUGUGAAGAAGGCCUUCGGGUUGUAAAGCACUUUCAGCUGGGAGGCGUUACCCGCAGAAGAAGCACCGGCUAACUCCGUGCCAGCAGCCGCGGUAAUAC
rnacentral:rRNA from 1 species